rnacentral:lncRNA from 1 species
AAAAAUGGUUCACUUAUGGUACAUUGCUACUUAUUUAGAUUGCCAAAAAUGGUUCACUUUAUAUUGUGUAUAGCUGUAUGCCUGUAUGACAUCACAUAUAUUUAGAUUGCCAAAAAAAGGUUAAGUAGUAGACUGUAUAGCUUAAAUGAUUACUAUCAAUUACAGUAUAAGUAGAGUGUAUUAACAAAGAGGCAGAUUGGGAGAAUUAAAUAUAACUUGUGCUUCUGAGAUUAAACAAACAAAUUGGCAUUACAAACACUCACUCUCACACAUAUAAUCUCUCUCUCUCUCUCUCUCUCUCUCUCUCUCUCUCUCUUAGACUCAGUUACUGCUACAAUUUAGUUUCAACACCAGACAUCCUCCGCCUGUUCAUUUCCUUGGUAAUAGCUUUUUAUUUUUGAGGUUUAUUUUCUUCAUUUCUAUUUCUUUUUAUUCAUUCUGUUUUCUUAUAUGCUCUAUUCAUUUCAUAUAUAAGCCU